UUAAAUAAUGGCACAAGUGGUGGUUCUUGAUUCUAUCAAUGAAGAUAUAUUUGUUUGUGGUAAUUGUAAAUUAGUGUUUAAUUCUCUUAAAAUUUUCUUAGACCAUAAAAAGUGGAAAUGUGGCGUUGAUUUAUCUAGAACAAAUGAGCCUGCUGUAAAUGAAAGUUCAUGUGAAAAUACUGUAACAACAUUAUCACAUCUGUCGGUCUCUCAAAACCUUGGAAUACCUUCAGGAAUAGGUUCCAAUGAAUGCAAGUUGUGUAAAAAAUCAUUUAAAAAGAUUAAGUCAUUAGUGGCCCAUCUGAAGACUCACAGCGAUAGACCGUAUCAGUGCCCUAUCUGUGGCCGCUGUUUUGUCCAAAAUUCCCAUUUACAAAGGCACAUAGCCUCCCACAAGAUUUGGCCUGAUGGUCUAACUGAGACAACUCCAAAAUCAGCAGAAGCUGAACUCUUAAGCUACUCUUGUGCGUAUUGUGAUAUAAUAUUACCAAAUUACAGUCAGUUCAGACUCCACUUAAAAAAGCAUCUAUGUAAUAAAAAGUUUAAAUGUAUUCAGAGUAAUUGCAGCGGCUUGUUUGCAAACAUUGAUGACCUGCUGGAACAUGUCUCCAGUAGCCAUGAAACAACUGCUUACCACUGUCAUAUGUGCAACCAGACUUUUAAUACACUUGAAGAUAUAGCUGCACAUCAUAAAACCCACGUGGAACCUGAAAAAGCUGUGCACAACACUGCUAUAGCAAGGCAUAAGUGUGCACAGUGUGAUGCAGUCUUUAAAAAUCCAGAAAAGCUGUCUUUGCACCUGCUGACCGAAAACCACAAGAAAGUUUGUAUUCACUGUAACAGGACAUUUGCUAGUGAUAAAAGAUUGAGGUUACACUUGCAGAUUCACAGGAAAAACAAACCAUUCCAGUGUAACAUAUGUGACAGUAGCUUCCAUAUGAAAAAAUAUUUGUCAUCACACAUGUUAAAGCAUGGAGAUAAACAAUUUGCAUGCUCCAUAUGCAAUCAUAAGUUUAAGAGAAAGGACCUGCUUCAGCGACACAUGAAAUCACAUCAAGCUAAGAAACUGUUCAAAUGCCCUUUCCGAGAUACUUUAGACUGUAUGAAGGAGUUCAGCCGGAGUGACAAGCUCAAGGCUCAUGUGAAAUUUCAUACAAAGCGCAUGGUGGCGAGCCCCAGCCCUCCACAACCAGUGUAUGAAAAUGCAGGCACUGUGGAAAUAUGCAUAGUGCCUUUGGAUGGCAGUAUCAUCACAAAAUAAGAAUCAGGAUUAAUAAUAAAGUACCUAAAUUAUGAAUAUGUUUUUCAUAUGGAUUGCACAAUGAUUUCAGUAAUGUAAGACAUAACACCAAGUAUGGCUUCUUUAUAGACACGCCAAUUUCGAGUUACUGAUCAAGUAUACCUGGACAUACAAGAUGAGGAUAAGCCCUUAGGAAGGGUAGUGAUUGGAUUAUUUGGUGACUUAGCUCCUAAAGCCGUUAAGAACUUUAAAGUUCUCGCUA